CUCCCAUUUCCGGAAGCCUGGCGCAAGGUUGGUCUGCAGGUGGCCUCCAGGUGCAAAGUGGGAAGUGUGAGUCCUCAGUCUUGGGCUAUUCGGCCACGUGCCUGCCGGACAUGGGACGCUGGAGGGUCAGCAGCGUGGAGUCCUGGCCUUUUGCGUCCACGGGUGGGAAAUUGGCCAUUGCCACGGCGGGAACUGGGACUCAGGCUGCCCCCCGGCCGUUUCUCAUCCGUCCACCGGACUCGUGGGCGCUCGCACUGGCGCUGAUGUAGUUUCCUGACCUCUGACCCGUAUUGUCUCCAGAUUAAAGGUACGACAUUUGGAGGCCCCAGCGAGAAACGUCACCGGGAGAAACGUCACCGGGCGAGAGCCGGGCCCGCUGUGUGCUCCCCCGGAAGGACAGCCAGCUUGUAGGGGGGAGUGCCACCUGAAAAAAAAAUUUCCAGGUCCCCAAAGGGUGACCGUCUUCCGGAGGACAGCGGAUCGACUACCAUGUGGGUGCCCACAAAAAUUCCACCUCUGAGUCCUCAACUGCUGACCCCGGGGUCAGGUCCAGAUUUUGAACAAAUCUCGCUAGAGAUUGAACAGAGCUGCGCCUGGAUCCCGCCACAGUGAGGAGACCUGAAGACCAGAGAAAACACAGCAAACGGAGUCUUGCUCUGUUGUCCAGGCUGGAGUGUAGUGUGGCGAUCUCGGCUCCCUGCAAGAAUCUGCCUCCCAGAUUCACGCCAUUUUCCCACCUCAGCCCCUGGAGUAGCUGGAAGUACAGGCUCCCGCCACCACGCCUGGCUAAUUUUGUUUUUGUAUUUUUAGUAGAGACGGGGUUUCACUGUGUUAGGUAGGAUGGUCUCGAUCUCCUGACCUCAUGAUCCAUCCGCCUUGGCCUCUCAAAGUGCUGGGAUUACAGGCAUGAGCCACCGCACCUGGCUGUUUUUUCAUUUCUAUUAUGAUUUGUUCUGUGGAAUGUCAGUGACUUAGCGGUGUUUUUCACAUGUUUAUAAAGCUGAAUAGUUCUGUAUGUCAGCUCAGCACCCCUAGUGUCAGUCAUGCUACUCUCCUGCUGUGCAUAGAUGGGGGCCUGUCCACACCCAAAUCUCCUGGGUUCCCGCUGUCCGCACCUGAAGGCCCCUGGAUCCUCCUGGAAUCCCCGAUCCCUCUUGCUCCCUGGCAGAGUUUUCUAGUCCCUCUUACUUGAAGCAUGUCUUUCAGAGCCCGGCACCACCCAUCUUGAGUAUCUGAUACCCCAUCAGCCUGAGUCUCUUAAAGGCCUUUAUACACAUAUGUCUACACAUAGGGAUUUGGAUGAUCUCGGGAUCCCACAUCCUCGCUGUCCCCUGUCCCCCCGCAACAUCCCCCACCAAUACCUUUCUGAAGUUUUCUAGUCCCUCCUUUUUGUUUGUGCUCCUUAAAGCCCAGCCCCAUGCCUGACUUUGGUUCCCAGUGAGCAUUGUACAUUUGUGGAUAUUAAAUCUUUGGCAAAGUCAUUUACCUGGGCUGGAAUAGGGCUCUUGGCUGAUUCUUUUUCCUAAACACCCACCCAAUGGGAGAGGCUGAUACUCAACAUGCAAACCUUGUGUUUUAUUUCUCCAGGCGAAGGGAUGUUGGAAGACAUUCUGGAAGGGGUGGGGUGUGAAGAUUUACAAAUAAUCUUUGAAUAUCUGCUUCAUGAUAGGUCUUGGAGGUGCCUUGUGGGUGUGGCUUUGGGGGGAUGGUUACGAGGAAAUUGUGGAUAUUAAGGAAGUCAGGAAAGGAAAAGAUCAGUCACAAUUCAACAAUUCAGAGAAAGCUCCUAAGGGACUUUCUGGCUGCUUGAUGCCCAGAGGCCAGGCCCUCACUUCGUAUUAAGGCUCAGGACUGUGGAUAGAGAAUUUAAAGGGGCACCAAAAAAAACAUUAAAAUAGAUAAACAUAUUUUUAAUGGAAUACCUUUAAAAAUGCAAAUCAAUGCACAAAGAAAACGCCCAUGUUGAACAAAAUGGUGACAAUUGUGCCUUCUCUUCAACACCACCCCACCCUCCAGAAGUUUCCUUCAAGCCGUACCUGUAAGAGUAAAAAUAGAGAAAAAUAAAAACCUUUAAGUUAAAAGAUAAAAAUGAGCUGGGUGUGGGGGCUCAUGCCUGUAAUCCCAGCACUUUGGGAGGCCGAGGCAGGUGGAUCACUUGAGGUCAGGAGUUCGAGACCAGGCUGGGCAAUGUGGUGAAACAUCGUCUCUACUAAAAAUACAAAAAAACAAAAAAAAUUUAGGUGGGCACAGUGGCAGGUGCCUAUAAUCUCAGCUACUUGGGAGGCUGAGGCAGGAGAAUCGCUUGAACCUGGGAGGCGGAGGUUGCAAUGAGCCAAGAGCAUGCCAUUGCACUACAUCCUGGGAGACAGAUCAAGACUCUGUCUCAAAAAAAACAAAACAAACAAACACCUCGGGAAUUUCUGGCUCAAGCCUCUGAUCCUCACCACCACUAUCACCAGGGGAUCUUUUGCUGUUCACCCAAGUCCAGCCUUCAUCCCCUAAACUCCUGGGGAAAUGCGACCAGACUCUCCCCAUCUCCAUUCCGGGAGUUUGCCUCAAGCCAAUCUUGUUCUCCCUGAAAACGGCCUUGGGGUUCCCCAUCCUGGUACACCCUCCUACUCUAGGGGACACAGGGCCGAUGUUGCCCCCCAAACCGGCAGUCCCAGGAGCGCAUCGCUUCUCCCUGAACUGCUUCUGCCCCAACCUGGCAUCUGCUUGGGGAAGGGCACCCCAGGGUGGAGACUUGCAUGGUGAGCUCAGCUCACCUUCAGGUGAAGGUCAGCGCACACUGGCCACCCGGGACCACAUUUUCCAGAAUCCUUUGGCGGUCCCGCGAUGCUCUCGUGGUCAGCAGCUCUCAUUGGGUUGCAGAGGAGAAACUUGUCCGUGUCACUGGGGCAUCUUAACAGUCGGCUCCUAAGCUUGGUUGUGUGCGCUGUGCAGAUGUGAGAGGCACACCGUGUGGGCGAAGCCAACUGCUUGCCCGCCUCUCUAGCUCCAAAACUACAAUCCCCAGAGGCCUCUGCGGUCACUUCCACUACCCACCCUACACACCUUCUGUGUGUCGCGUUAAUGUCAGAAGCACUUCUGUUUGGUGGCCCCGGCGGGUUAGGCUGGUUGGCACCCAGGGAAGCACCCAGGUCUUCCCCACACCUCUGCACCUCAUUACCUGACCGGCUUCUGGAUCCGCAGCGUGCAUCUGCAGUCUGUGAGUCCCCUAUAGGCACUCAGUAUGCCCCUCUGCGUGUCCCUCUGUUACUCAUGGGGACGCAGUCUGGGAGCCGUAGACCUGUCUCAGAACUAGGGCGCCCUCCUGUGGGCACCUCCAGGCCAUUUUCCUUUCACUGGAGCCCACCGGGUUAGAGACAGACCCUCACUCUGUUGCUUGGGGACAAAGGCUUCACUCCCUGGCCCGAGCUUGGGGCUGAGCUAGAGGGUUCGGGGUCAUCCUGGGCCCCUCUGGAUGGGAAUUGGCUGCCCUGUUAAUUUCUGUGACAUCCCCGACCCUAACAGUGGGUCUCUGGAGCAGACUGCGCUUCACCCCAUGGGAAGGGGGUUUCCACCUGAGAGUCAAAAAAGAGGUGAGAAUUCUCUGUAAUUCCAUCUUGACUGUCAACAGGAUGGAUUCUGUUACCAUUUCUUGCCCUGGAGGCUGCCUUGUUGGUACUGGGGAAAGUUCAUUCCUAGUCCUGGAAAAGUGGCUCAUUCCAACUGGAGUCCUCCCUCAGCAUUCCUUUCUGCUGCAUCCAUACUGCAGUCAUUCAUGUUGUUAAUUGUAAACAAACACACAUGGAACAGUUUAAAUAAAACUACACAGAUGUGUGUGCUUAAUUGUUCAGUGAUGUGGAUAAAGGGCAGGGACAGCAGAGAUGCCUGUGAUUUCAAGGGCUUGGGGAGGACUCGUACAAGUAGAGCUGUCUCAGCUGCCCCUGACCGGUUUGGUACCUUGGAGACUCGGGGGAAGGCAUUGCACUCGGAGGCAGAAGGAAACAUAGUCUGAGGCUGGGCUCUUGCUACAGGGUAGGAAGGAUUAUGGUGGCCAAGAGCCUUCGUAAGGUUGAUUUUUAAAUAUGCAUAGGUGAAGAUACAGACUAGCUGUUCACACAUAGAAUAAGGAGAAGCUUUAUAGAGUGUGACCUAAAUUUUACAUCACAGAACACUUUCACCUUCCGGCAGUUGGGACAUUUCACCCAUAAUUUGAAAUUCCCUCCUACUCUGAAAAUGAAUCUGGCCUAACUCUGCACUGAUAAUUUUUUUUUUUUUUUUGAGACAGAGUUUUGUGCUUGUUACCCAGGCUAGAGUGCAGUGGUGCAAUCUACACUCACUGCAACCUCGGCCACACUGGUUCAACCGAUUCUCCUGCCUCAGCCUCCCAAAUAGCUGGGAUUUACAGGCAUAUGCCACCACACCGCGCUAACUGUCUGGUACUUUUUUUUAGUAGACGCGGAGUUUCAUCAUGUUGGUUAGGCUGGUGUGAUCCCCUGACCUCAAGUGAUCCAUCCGCCUCAGCCUCCCAAACUGCUGGGAUUAAAGAUGUGAGACACCUCACUUUGCCAGUAUGCAUUGUUCUUAGUGUCAGCCGCUGAAACUGCUACUUCUGCUUUACGCGACUACGAGCCACCGGUGAGAGAGCAGCCCACGGGCACACAGGCGGACCUGUGCUCGUCAUCACAAGGGCUCCACUUUUGGGGAGACUCACCCGCACACCGUCCGCGCACGCCAGAGGCUGGGAUCCCGCGCUGCCUCGCCGGCGAUCUGUCUGAGGUUUCUUCCUCCUGGGGUUUCUUCCUGCUGCUGGACCCUCCGCGAAUCCCGGCCUCCGGAGACCGUCCUGGUAACUGCCCUGGCCAGGACUGGUCUCAGCCCAGACUCAGACGCACGAUCACACAGGGCUCCUACUUCCCCAAGUGUCAGGGACCCAUCCCCGGGCAACGGUGGCUUUCACUGUG
rnacentral:lncRNA from 1 species